rnacentral:tRNA from 1 species
GGGCCGAUAGCUCAGCCUGGUUAGAGCGUUCGGCUGAUAACCGAAAGGUCGAGGGAUCGAAGCCCUCUCGGCCCACCA